CUAGAGCACAGACUCAGUAGUUGUGAUGCACAGGCUUCGUUACUCUGUGGCAUGUGGAAUUUUGACAUAUGGAUUGAACCUAUGUCCCCAGCAUUGGCAGCGCUGCAUGCAGGAUCUUAUUUCUCUGACCAAGAAUGGAACCUGUGCCCUCUACAGUGGAAGCAUGGAAUCUCAACCACUGGACCACCAGGGAAAUUCUUCACCACUGGAAAUCAGUCCUGAAUAUUCAUUGGAAGGACUGACACUGAAGCUGAAACUCCAAUACUUAGGCCACCCGAUGUGAAGAACCGACUCAUUGGAAAAGACCCUGAUGCUGGGAAAGACUGAAGGCUAAUCUGGAGGAGCAUUAUCAUUUGGGAUGUAAUCAACUCAGAUCCACACCAUGUUGGAUAUGCUAUGCUGCUGCUGCUGCUAAGUCACUUCAGUCGUGUCUGACUCUGUGCGAUCCCAUAGAUGGCAGCCCACCAGGCCCCGCCGUCCCUGGGAUUCUCCAGGCAAGAACACUGGAGUGGGUUGCCAUUUCCUUCUCCAAUGCAUGAAAGGGAAAAGUGAAAGUGAAGUCGCUCAGUUGUGUCCGACUCCUAGUGACCCCAUGGACUGCAGCCUACCAGGCUCCUCCGUCCAUGGGAUUUUCCAGGCAAGAGUACUGGAGUGGGGUGCCAUUGCCUUCUGCAUGGAUAUGCUAUGGUUGAGUAUAAUUUUUGGUAGUAGUUGUUCCAACUACUGCAAGUGUCAGCUUUUCUUGUUUUGUUUUUGUUUGUUUUUUGGUAGAAGAUCAUCAGUAGGCAUAGUGACUGCUCAACUGCCUUAAGAUUCUGGAGUUCUAAUUUGAGCAGGGUGACUCAAACAAGUGCUAACCUACUUUGAGUAAAGUGUGCAGAUGAAACUAAUAGAGUAGAUUCAUUUCAACUAUGAAGAGCUCACAGAACCAGAGAUUUGGAUAUUAGCCAGAUUAUUUAGUCUCAUGAUACUUAUUUUUCCAGAUCUUUUUAGUGAUAGUAAAGAUCGCAGAGAAAUCUGCAGAAAUCUAAGUACAUCAUUAUUUCCCUUAGGCAGCACACGUUUUCCUUCAGGAAGCCAGUACAACAUCUGAUGACUCUGUUUUGAACCAUUGUUUGUCUGUCUCAUGAAAUUUUUUAGGUGACGAUUUCCACAGUCUUAGACAUCUUAUCUAGUUUAAAUAUUUUCUGAACCAUAAGCAUGUAGGAUUACUCCUACUUUUUUAAGCCUCUUAGAAAGCAUAAAAUGAAAAGUCUUGAGUAUAGAAGAAUACAGUUCCUCAAAUCUUCAGC
ensembl:lncRNA